AGGAAGUUGGCGUUGCUGCGCAAGAUGCGCAUGCGCACAUUGUCGUUUCACGUUUGGCGUCCCAGGUGCCUUGUCGACAGGUUAAUUGCAAUCCAGUUGCAGAGCAUUGGAUUGUUUAUGACUACAUUCACCGGCUAAAGAAAAUGGAUGAAUAAAUAUGACAACGACAACAUUGGUGUUCAG